rnacentral:Y_RNA from 1 species
GGCUGGUCCGAAGGAAGUGAGUUAUCUCAUUUGAUUGUUCACAGUUACAGAUUGAACUCCUUAUUCUACUACUUUCCCCCUUCUCACUACUGUACUUAAGUACUCUUAA